rnacentral:rRNA from 1 species
AGUGAACGCUGGCGGUAGGCCUAACACAUGCAAGUCGAACGGAAGCACAGUAAGAGCUUGCUCUUACGGGUGGCGAGUGGCGGACGGGUGAGGAAUAGAUAGGAAACUACUUUUUCGGGGGGGAUAACGGAAGGAAACAGACGAUAAUACAGCAUACGAUCUACGGGAGAAAGCAGGGGAUCUUGGGAGCUUGCGCGAAUGAAAGAGACGAUGUCGGAUUAGCUAGUUGGGGGGGUAACGGCCCACCAAGGCGACGAUCCGUAGCUGGUCUGAGAGGAUGAUCAGCCACACUGGAACUGAGACACGGUCCAGACUCCUACGGGAGGCAGCAGUGGGGAAUAUUGGACAAUGGGCGCAAGCCUGAUCCAGCCAUGCCGCGUGGGUGAAGAAGGCCUUCGGGUUGUAAAGCCCUUUUGUUGGGAAAGAAAAGCAGCAGGUUAAUACCCCGCUGUUCUGACGGUACCCAAAGAAUAAGCACCGGCUAACUUCGUG